rnacentral:rRNA from 1 species
GACGAACGCUGGCGGCGUGCUUAACACAUGCAAGUCGAACGGAAAGGCCCUGCUUUUGUGGGGUGCUCGAGCGGCGAACGGGUGAGUAACACGUGAGUAACCUGCCCUUGACUUUGGGAUAACUUCAGGAAACUGGGGCUAAUACCGGAUAGGAGCUCCUGCUGCAUGGUGGGGGUUGGAAAGUUUCGGCGGUUGGGGAUGGACUCGCGGCUUAUCAGCUUGUUGGUGGGGUAGUGGCUUACCAAGGCUUUGACGGGUAGCCGGCCUGAGAGGGUGACCGGCCACAUUGGGACUGAGAUACGGCCCAGACUCCUACGGGAGGCAGCAGUGGGGAAUAUUGCACAAUGGGCGGAAGCCUGAUGCAGCAACGCCGCGUGCGGGAUGACGGCCUUCGGGUUGUAAACCGCUUUCGCCUGUGACGAAGCGUGAGUGACGGUAAUGGGUAAAGAAGCACCGGCUAACUACGUGCCAGCAGCCGCGGUGAUACGUAGGGUGCGAGCGUUGUCCGGAUUUAUUGGGCGUAAAGGGCUCGUAGGUGGUUGAUCGCGUCGGAAGUGUAAUCUUGGGGCUUAACCCUGAGCGUGCUUUCGAUACGGGUUGACUUGAGGAAGGUAGGGGAGAAUGGAAUUCCUGGUGGAGCGGUGGAAUGCGCAGAUAUCAGGAGGAACACCAGUGGCGAAGGCGGUUCUCUGGGCCUUUCCUGACGCUGAGGAGCGAAAGCGUGGGGAGCGAACAGGCUUAGAUACCCUGGUAGUCCACGCUGUAAACGGUGGGUACUAGGUGUGGGGUCCAUUCCACGGGUUCCGUGCCGUAGCUAACGCUUUAAGUACCCCGCCUGGGGAGUACGGCCGCAAGGCUAAAACUCAAAGGAAUUGACGGGGCCCCGCACAAGCGGCGGAGCAUGCGGAUUAAUUCGAUGCAACGCGUAGAACCUUACCUGGGUUUGACAUGGAUCGGGAGUGCUCAGAGAUGGGUGUGCCUCUUUUGGGGUCGGUUCACAGGUGGUGCAUGGCUGUCGUCAGCUCGUGUCGUGAGAUGUUGGGUUAAGUCCCGCAACGAGCGCAACCCUUGUUCACUGUUGCCAGCACGUUAUGGUGGGGACUCAGUGGAGACCGCCGGGGUCAACUCGGAGAAAGGUGGGGAUGACGUCAAGUCAUCAUGCCCCUUAUGUCCAGGGCUUCACGCAUGCUACAAUGGCUGGUACAGAGAGUGGCGAGCCUGUGAGGGUGAGCGAAUCUCGGAAAGCCGGUCUCAGUUCGGAUUGGGGUCUGCAACUCGACCUCAUGAAGUCGGAGUCGCUAGUAAUCGCAGAUCAGCAACGCUGCGGUGAAUACGUUCCCGGGGCUUGUACACACCGCCCGUCAAGUCAUGAAAGUUGGUAACACCCGAAGCCGGUGGCCUAACCGUUGUGGGGGAGCCGUCGAAGGUGGGACUGGUGAUUAGGACUAAGUCGUAACAAGGUAGCCGUACCGGAAGG